GAAAUGAUGCUGUAUGACGUGUCUGUUCCCUGCAAGCCCCAAACUUCUAUUGGCUUUCCAUAAAAAUGUCUGUCCGGGUGGAGAUGAAGCCAGGAAACUUGUGCAAGAACAUGUUUAAAUGCCGUACCCUUUGACACAACAUUAACAACUAUAAACUGCUUUAUAAUGGCUGGUCGUAGUUCUGCUAGAGGGUCAAGGACGGGUUCCUCAAAACUGUUAGUGUUUCCACACCACUUAGCAUGAACACAUGCUGACCUUUAUGCUCUGCAUCUAUCGAUUGAGUAAGUUACAUUCAUAUAUGUUACCCGUUUACAUGUCAUGGAAAAACAUUCAACCUCAGUGACACAAGGGUACAUCUGAUGAUACAUUGUCAACAUUGCAUGUCUGUCAGACUCAUCCAAGAUUGUCUGGUGGAAUGGAGAAAGAGGCACCACUGUACAGUUUUCUAGGGAAAGUCGUUCUGCUGACACCAAAACACUGCUUUACAUAAAGCAUAGCAGCUGUUUCAAAGUCCCAACCAUUUGUCUUCCUAAAAUACUGGUCCUUCCGUAUAACAAUAACCUUGUAUGUGAUUGGAGGACCCUUAGACUCCUCGUCCAAUCACGUGUGAGGUCAUAGGCAUGACUGAUACAGCAGUACUUGCAAGACGAGCAUACAAACAGUGUGUUACUAUAUUCAGAAGAACUGUAUCUCCAGUUCCUUUGUUUGGUUUUUGCUGCUUUGUGAAUAAUGGCUGGACGACGUCUCGCGUUCAACUGGCCUUCAACUCCUCUCCGCGGUCACCAACUUUCGGCCAGUCCGCAGACAGACGUGAAGAAGCUGCUGAAAGCUCUCAGUGGAUCGUCUCGUCAACUCCAACAACAAACUGCCGAUAUCAACGAGCGGUUCGCUCCACUGGAGCGUUCGGGACUCUGCGGGUUUCUGUCCAUAGAGGAGAGGAACCGACUCAAAGAAGAGGAGACGGGCGCACGAUCCCAAGAUAGCGGUAAGAAUACGUUCGAUGACUGCAAGCUAAGCUAAAAGUAGUGUAGCCUCAAGCUAAGCUAAGAGUAGCCUAGUAGCCUUAAUGAGCAGAAACAGCUUUAUUAAAGUGUAUUUUCUUUGCCGUGUCGUUUACAGGAAGCGGUGCGCCGUCUUCACAACUCCGAGACGAAUUACAGGCGCUACGAACCGGAGCAAGGGUCAGAUUUAAAGAAGAUGCUUUAAUUCUGCGGUAUAAGGAAAUAUAUACAUAUAGAUACCAUAGGAUGGAUACUGAUCAUAACUGUAAAUUUGGUUUUCACAGACUAAUCUCGCCUCAUAAUGAGGCGGUGACCUCGUAUUUGCUCCGGGAAAAGUCCAGAUUUAGACGACGUCAUUGUGUGUAAGUGACACUGUUUCUCCUUCCUUGUUAAAUGUUACUGUGACUUGCGUUUGAUUUUUUUGUAUUCAUACCACACUCAUUUAAUUGUUUUCCAGCUCCCUGUGAGACGUAUUGUGAGACCGGACGCAGGAGCUUCAGGUUCAGCCGGAACACUCAUUGCGGGCGGAAGCUGCGAAGGAUUCAGCGCGGAGUCAAGCGAGAAGAAAGAGGGUAAGAGUUUAUUUGCUGACUUUUUUCAGGUGCAUUGAUCGAUGUGUUGUGUCCGUACGCAUCGCACAAUACUGAUUCAUUGUUGUUUUUACAGCUGCUGGAAUCGAGACAAAGUGUGCUGGCUGAUGACGAGGUGGAACUCUGGAAAUCCGCCACCGUAGAGCUCAUGUCGGACGAAGAGGAUGGCGUUGUUGGCGGGGUCUCGGGGUGGAUUGUACGGUCGCCGCCAUUGCGUAGUCAGUCCCGGUUAGAGGCGACUCAGAAAUACCGAGCAACACACACUAGGCGCCUGCACAACAGACCUGCCUCGGAAAACACGCCGCCAGUGACGGUUUACAACCCCGAGGAGGCAAACGGACAGUUUACUGAGCUGUAUUUUUUUAAACCGUCGUUACCCAAGUGUGGGUAGGUCCUCACUUUGGAUAUAGUUGUUGUUUGUGUGUUGUUAAUAAAGCGCUUUCUUUGCAUAAACAUGUUCCUGGCAAAUGUUCAUUUUCUCUAUAAAUUCAUUGAUGUCCUGGAUGGUAUCCUAAUAAUAGUGUAGUAGUCUACAUAGGAUAACAAUGAAAUGAAUAUACAGCAUAAUAUGAAUAUAUAAAUAUAUAUAUGAAUACAAUGAGGUGGGUGACCAAUAGCGACAGAUCCGCCAACCAAUCAUGAGUGAUUUUAUUCAAACAAGUAAAAUCACUCAUGAGUGGGGAGCCACUUCGUCAUACCCCUAACUUCUCUCUCCCCUUUAUUCUGCAGACCGACGCGUCGAACAGAGGGCUGGGGGCCGUUUUGUCCCAGGAGGUGGGGGGGGGGGUGGACCGCCCUGUGGUGUACAUCAGCCAGAAGCUGUCUGAGAGGGAGGCCAGGUACAGCACAGUGGAGAAGGAGUGCCUGGCCAUCCGGUGGGCAGUCGACUCCCUACGCUACUACCUCCUGGGACGCCCUUUCACCCUCUGUUCGGACCACGCCCCGCUCCAAUGGCUCCACCGCAUGAAAGAUGCCAACACCCGGAUCACUCGGUGGUAUCUGGCUCUACAGGCUUUUAAUUUCAAGGUGAUCCAUAGGCCUGGGGCGCAGAUGCCUGUGGCUGAUUUCCUCUCCCGCUCCUGAAAGGGGGGGUGGGGGGGGGGAGUAGUUUCGGCCAGAUGGCUCCCCAGCCUUGUCGGACGGUGGGGGUAUGUGGUGGCGGGCAUUGUUUGGCUCGGCUGCAGAGGGGACGGAGAAGGAAGUGGCUGGGGGAACGGUGCCAGAAGGAGGCAUAAUUGGCCUCAGGUGAAACUAAUCAUGUGUGUGUGUGUGUUCUGCCUCAAGUAGAAGAGAACCGGCGACAGCGAGGAGGCUGGAGCCGGUCGUCUGUUGUUUUUGAGAAACGUUAUAUAAAGUGUGCAUAAUGAAACAGACUACUGCGUUCUCAUCAUUCCGAGACCCCCCCAUAGGACGAACCUGCCACAUACACCUUCAUAGAUUCCUCUGGUGAGACUCAGAAGAUGAGGGGCUUGAGGAAUAUGCAAUCACCAGAGUAAACAUCAGCUGGGGAUAAACCAGCAGGGUGCAUCGCACAGAUAGCAAUGCGUGAAACUUUCAACCUUUGCUUAGCCAAGUUUCAGAGCUGUCGGAUAACUCCUGCUAAGCAGAAGGGAGCCAUUCUGGUACGAAAGGCAUUCCAAGAGACAGAUCAAGGACACAUGGGACAUGGCACUCUCGGAAGGUCUGAGGGAAUAUGCAAUUCAGCUCUUUGAGGAAUACAUCUAACUGGGUAAAGUUAAGUUCACUAGAGCACUAACACCUCCAAACUACAUCACGAAACCCUGGGCGAUCACCUUCUUGGAUGGAAGCGAGCACGCCUAUGGAGCAGUCAUGUACCUGAGGUGUCCAAGGGAGUUCAAUUUCCCAAAAUUGGGACUGUCCCUUGGACUGUCAAGGUGAUUCUGUCAAGGCAGAAGUCUGCGGGGCAGUGUUUACCUCAGACCUGAAGAAAUACUUUGAGCUGAACAGUCGGAUCCAGGUUGAAGGACAGUUUCAUCUAAUCAAUAGCAAACAGUCCUCGGCGCAAUACAGUAAGAAAGCUAUGGCUACCAAACCUGAUCAGAGAAAUUCAGGACAGCACAAGGAUCCACAACUGGUGGUGGAUCCCAGGUUGCAAAAGAAGGCAUUUGUGGCUGCACUGACUCGUGCCAAAGAAAGAAGAGCUAAAACAAGGUUAUGACCAGGCGCAGACUGAUCAGAGAAGACCACCUGCAGGGUCAGCCAGCAGAGGCCUCGUCGAUGUCAAGCGUUUCAGUAGUCUGACCCGACUGGUCAAAACAAUUGCAUGAAUCUGGAGAGCAGGAAAGGCGUUCAUUGGACAAGGAAAAGUCCUGAAGUGGGAGGCAGUCUCCUCAAAACAAAUUAUCUCCAGGAAGUCCAGGAACGAGAAGAUGCCCGGAAAGACAGUUUUCUUGCAGCACAAGAGGGCAUAACCUUCCCAAGCACCAGAAUAGACAGAUUGGUGGUCUACAAAGACUCUUUGCACUUGGCCACCGCAAACCAAUAGCCAAAGAUUCAAAGAGGAUCACGUUGGGGUCCCUAGCUUACCUUAUGACGCCUGGGUGUCCACAUUACUAGCUCGGGAGGCACACAAUAAGAAUCAUGAAGGAGUGGCCGGAACCCUGCUCAAGAUGGAAAAGACAGCUUGGGUCAUAAAAGGGAGGAGUAUUGCCCGAAGAAGUGUAGAUAGCUGCAGCAUAUGCAGGAAGGCAAAAGCACGAAAAUGUCAGAACGAACGGAACCCGCCGCCCCAUUUAAAUUCACCACAGUAGACCUCUUUGGACCGUACCAAGUACAGGAUGAUGCGAAGAAACAAGUGAGACUGAAAGUCUGGGGUGUGGUCUUUUGCUGUAUGGCCAGCAGGGCCAUCCACACAGAGUUAGUCAAUUCUCUAGCAGCCAAAGUUUUCUCAUGGCUUACCAAAGGUUUACAGCGAUCGGGGGUCAUCCCAGGAAAAUCUGGUCGGACCCAGGCACUCAUUUCAAAUGAGCCAGUCUCGGAGGAGCUUUGCCGAUUCUUGGACAGCCUUGAUAAAGCAGGCCUGGCAAAGUUUGCGCCCAAUUGACGCUAGAGUACAGAGUCGAGAGGACUGUAUUCAAUAUAUAACACACUCCUUCUCGGCCAAGCAUCUCAGAGUGAGGACCUCAACUUCUGACUUUUCCGAUUACCCCUACAAAAGACUCGUUAGAGCGAUAGAGGUAGAGGUGACCAAGUUCUGGAAGCAUUGGAGUCAACUCGGGGGGUCCCAACUUGUUUGUCAGAAACAGGCUAAGUGACCAAAAUGCGCUGAGAGGCCAAUUCAAACUCUGAGUCAUCAGUACGAAUCCCGACAGCAAAGGCGUUGUGACGGACGUCAACGUCAGGAUCUAUCCAUCUUACAAUAUUUCAGUUUCAAAAGCACUGAAAAGGGAAAUCAGACAAUCCAGCGUUGACUGAACAAAGGGGGAAGAUCCAAGCCACCAUUCUUCACAGGGACGUCCAGCGGUUGGUUGUUCUACUACCUGAGGAGGAACAGACAGCGCCUCAAGGCGACAUCUAAAGACGAUUGAGGCCGCAGGCCUGUGACCACAUAGUUUGCCUUUUCAAACUGACAAUCUACCCAGUGAUUCCAUGGGAUCGAGUGGGAGGUGUGAGGUCAAACAAGGUUUUUUCAUUUGACUAUGUAUAGAGAGCAACAGUAGGUAAGUUGAUGGGAGGGAACCCAGGUAGAAGGUAUGGGGCGGAGCUAUUUACCGGGAGGACCUCAUAGGGGAGAACGGGCGCGGGGUAAGGAAACAAACAGCUGACAGACAGGAGCCAGCUGAUGCACCGCGACAUGAGUUAGGUCCCUGAAGGGUAGCUUGUUUUUCACCUGGGACGACACCAGAGACCGAAAGAGUGCUUGGCGCCAGAAAGAAAAAUAAAAAAGGAUAAAAGAAAAACGUGUUGAGUGAAAUCCAGUUUCCAGGGAAUCUCAGUUCCCUUUCAAGUGGGGAAACUGCACCAGCGUAAAUAGGAGCACGGGGAGAAACUUGACAGUCUUUCGUUAUUUUCCUCAAAGAAACACAAUAGUUAGCAAUCAUAAUUUUCUGGUCUGAAACGGAAGGCUGGGUGAAUUACCGGGUGAGAGGCAAAACAGGCAGGGCAAAUCAGUCCAAGUGUAAGCGCUGGCAUUGAAGCGGAGAACGGUCAAGCAGCUGGUUUGUGUAACACAGGGGUUUAAAAAGUGGCAGAAGCAGGUUGAGCAGGUGAGCGCAAUGAGCUGUAUAACCUUUACUGUGUAUAUGGAUGCGAAAUAUUGUUGCAACUUUAACUUGCCAAAUCUUCCAUGGGCACCUCACUUAUUCAAUUUCAUCAGAUAGGAUUUUUGAAAUCCAAAUUUCGUUUCGGCUCCGAGGAGAGCUGCUUUUAGGAAUUAGGGGUUUAAGAAGACACUUUUGAAAUAUGUUCAAUUCUUUUCAUUUUAUAAACAUUUCUAUAAACAGACAUAUUAGAAAGACCAGGGCUGUAGUGGAGGGUAAACGUACGUAAACGCCGUUUACGCACCUCUGGAAUUUUGGAAAUAGCGUUUACGCACCUAUAAAUAGCGUUUACACACCUCAAAGUUCCCUGCGCCUUGUAUUCUUCCGUUGGAAUAAUCCGAAAUAAACUUGGUGUAAUUUUAAAACAGCUAAGACUACGUUUCCUAUUGUUGAACAUAUAAACGGCGUAGUCUGAAUCAUGUUCAUCUGCACUGUAUUACGGUCUGUGAGCAUCCAAUCAGUGCCUUGCGGCUGCAGCAGCGACCAAUCAGGAUCCAGGAGGACAAGGAGGCCCUCUGGGCACUACUGUAAAAAGGAGACUCCGUAUGUAGAUAGUUCUUAAUCUGCAAUUGUGUUGUGUUGACAUACUUUUCUUUACUAUUUUCUUAAAUUUAACAUUUAACAUAAUGCAGUAUAGCCAGGACAGCCUUACAGUCGCGAGGCUUCGCAUCGCGUUGCUUCGCAUCGAGGUCUGUAUGAUCACAAAAUUCAGAGUUUACCCACCUCUAAUUUUACCACUACAGCACUGAGAAAGACCCAUUGUGGUUUUAGAGGCAGUUACAGCACACAUAGCUUUUAGCAGACCCAAUGCACAGAUGCACUAGUAAACUGUUGUUCAACUCCAAAUUCAAGGAAUCAAACUGUUUUGAUUUAUCUAUUCACGUUGCACUAUUUACGUUGUAAAAAAGGUUUAUUUCUUUUAAUAAACUGUUUUUCACUUUGGAAGGAGUCAGACUUGUACCUUUUACCCACUUCCAGUUUUUCUACUAGGCUAAGUUAAUUCCUUCUCCAUACUCCAUUCUUCAAAAUGAAGACAUUUGGAUCACAUUGUAUUCUUCAUGUGAGAGCUCCGCCCAUGAGGAUCUUUGGGAAUAUCCAUGAGUAGUUUGGGUCUCAUUAUGGGUACCAAGUCAUCCUCGCUCAGCCAGAGAAGCCCAGAGACUUACAGUGCAUCCGGAAAGUAUUCACAAAGCUUCACUUUUUCCACAUUUUGUUAUGUUACAGCCUUAUUCCAAAAUGGAUUAAAUUCAUUAUUUUCCUCAACAUUCUACACACAACCACCCAUAAUGACAAAGUGAAAACUGUUUUUUGCAAAUCUGCUAAAAAUAAAGAACGAAAACAUAACAAGUACAUAAUGUGAUGUCACGAGAGGCUGGGUCUUGGAAGGGAGGUACGUUCACCGAAGAUGGCUAUAACUGGUAUGGCUCCAUCUGCCGGUGGAGUUAGGAACCCCACUCCGAGCAUCCCCCUCACAUCUGAAACCCAUCAGGGUAUGACGACCUGAAGGCCUUCAUAAGGGUGGGAGACACACCAUUGAGGGGAAGAGAGAGACGAGCUGCAGGUUGGGCCCGAUGCAGAAGACCUAUACAGGAGGAUUCCCGGAGACCGGAGGGACUGAGAAGACGAGGCAUUAUUUAAGUUUUACCAGCGAAGAUCGACCGAAGCCUAAGUUACACAUUUUUGACUACUGUUUUCUGUUGAAGCCAAAGGACGUGAAUUAAACCUUUUGUUUACAUUUUGAACCUGGUGUCCUUGCACUACCCCAGUGAGAGCGGCGCUGCCUCUCAUGACAUCACAAUAAGUAUUCACAGCCUUUGCUCAAUACUUUGUUGAAGCACCUUUGGCAGCAAUUACAGCCUCAAGUCUUCUUGGGUAUGAUUCCACAAGCGUGGCACACCUAUUUCUGGGCAGUUUCUCUCAUUCUUCUUUGCAGAACCUCUCCAGUUCCAUCAGGUUGGAUGGGGAGCAUCGGUGCACAGCCAUUUUCAGAUCUCUCCAGAGAUGUUCAACCGGGUUCAAGUCAGGGCUCUGGCUGGGCCACUCAAGGACAUUCACAGAGUUGUGCCGAAGCCACUCCUUUGUUAUCUUGGCUGUGUGCUUCGGGUCGUUGUCCUGUUGGAAGAUGAACCGUCGCCCCAGUCGGAGGUCCAGAGCGCUUUGGAGCAUGUUUUCAUCGAGGAUGUCUCUGUACAUUGCUGCAUUCAUCUUUCCCUCAAUCCUGACUAGUCUCCCAGUUCCUCCUGCUGAAAAACAUCCCCACAGCAUGAUGCUGCCACCACCAUGCUUCACUGUAGGGAUGGUAUUGGCCAGGUGAUGAGCAGUGCCUGGUUUCCUCCACAUGACGCUUGGCAUUCAGGCC
ensembl:lncRNA